UGCCCAGCAACUCUUAUCUCUACCUCCACGCGGUACCGGCCGGAAACUAUGAGCAACCUUAGGGAAGAUCGGGUAACCAACCCCGGUGGGAACUUUGGUCGUAGGCUGACAGGGAAGG
rfam:Aedes albopictus isolate Foshan contig421, whole genome shotgun sequence.